rnacentral:rRNA from 1 species
UACGUAGGGGGCAAGCGUUGUCCGGAUUUAUUGGGCGUAAAGAGCGUGUAGGCGGCCAGGUAGGUCUGCUGUGAAAACUCGGGGCUUAACUCCGGGCCUGCAGUGGGUACGGGCUGACUAGAGUGCGGUAGGGGAGACUGGAAUUCCUGGUGUAGCGGUGAAAUGCGCAGAUAUCAGGAAGAACACCAAUGGCGAAAGCAGCUCUCUGGGACGGUACUGACGCUGAGACGCGAAAGCGUGGGGAGCGAACAGG